rnacentral:pre_miRNA from 1 species
GACUCUGUGUCUGGUAGGCAGUGUACUGCUAGCUGGCUGCUGUAUCUGAAUGUAGUAGUCACUACUGCACUGUCACCUGCUGCAGGGCCA